UUCGGCGUGCACGCGCGCGAGAGGGGACCAGGCACGCAACCGUUAGGAGACUGUCUGGAGUCUGUCUCAAAUUGAUAAAAUUGGAAAUGUAGUUUUACCCGUCUCUGCGCAUCUACAAGGAAGCCGCCUGGUGGGAAAUUGGGGAUCAUUGAGCUCCUCCAUAGACGUCUCUUCGCCUUGAGUCGCCAGGCAUUGACGAAAUGUUUAUUUUUUCUCUUUAGAAAACAAAAAAGCGAAAGUUUUAUUUUUCCCUUCUGCAGUCCAUCAGCGGACAGACAGCUCCUUGUGCACAGAGAAUUAUUCCUCAGCCAUGGAGUUCAAGAUGAGUGCAUCAUGUGCAAGGCAGCCUGCAAAAGCACAGAAAGCCGUUGACAUUGACAGUCAUGACUUCAUGUCGACAAAUGUGCAGAGAGAGCUGUGUUAGUGGACUAGGAGGAAGAUGUCACACUAAGGAUGGGGUUUUUUGGCGAUGAUGUUGGUGCUGUUGAUGCAGCAUCGAGCUCUCACUUUGUGCCUCUGUCAGCUAUGAUCCGUAACCAUAAAGUGAGUGACAGGCCAUUCUCCGGGGGGAAAGCAGAGGUCUGAGGACAAUGCGCUCAUGUUGCUCAACAGCUUUAGCUUCUGUUCACGCAUUGGUGUCCCCAUCUGAACUUCCCGCAGCUCCUCUUCCUGUGAACAUGCAGAUGAAGAUUCCUAUUGGUUGAAUGAAGGAUCAAAACAACAGAUGAGUGUGAAUCUCAGGCUCCUUUCAGAGGUGGCGGAGAAGACUGACCGUCUCGAAGACAGUGCUGGGAGCAGCCCCCCGAUCUGCUCCAACGCUAGUCGCUGGCCGUUAGACAUGGCGUUCAAAGACUAGCGGUGCAAAAGGAAGAGGAGGAAAGCAACACGGAUGUAUCUGAGCACUCUGACUGAACUGAUAAAUCCCCCGCUCCACCAUGAUGAUCACAACGAUGGCUGUUGUUUACCCUUUUAAAGAUGAUUCUGAAUCAGUUUUUUAUUUAUUUUUUGGGGAACCUACAAUGGAGCAAAGCAGAAAAAGUGGGAAUAACGGCCACUAAAAUGCGUUAAUGGAAAGCAAAUGUGAACGGAUCAUUUACCCUGCAGAAAGAGGUUCACAGAGAAGGCAAAGAGCAGCCUGAGACUGCCAUUUGAAUGGGAUCUGAGAGGUAAUUUGAUCUAAAAUGGACUCCAGUCAUUCACCCCCCCCUCCUUCCCUCCCAUGGCAUCCACUGUAAUUCAUUAUUCCUGGCCAGCAGAGGCAAUGAGUGAGGGCAAAGGACAGGAGUGGACUCUGCUCUGGUGUAAUGAAGGCUCAGUAGACCUAAACGGCCCCCUUCCUUCCCUCCCUCUCUCCCUCCAUCAUUUAUACAUAUGCACAAUCUUUCAUUAUCUAUCAGUGAAAGCAGCACGUUAAUACUGCCAAAUACCUUUUAGCAGAGAAAGAAGAGUGUGCAAGGGUUUUCUUCACUCUCAAUCCAUUUUAUUGACCUUUUCCAUCAUGCAUGUGACUUAGUCUGCAGGCUGCAGCACCAAAUAAAUAUUCUAACAAUAAUAUACCUGCCGCUGCUUAAUAAUGCAUCUUUAUCAAACGCAAAACUGUAUAUUCAUCAGGCUUUAAGGAAAUCGUGUAUGUAUUUUUUUUAUAUAAUCAAUAUGAUUUUCACACUCCAGCAUGUAUUUUUGAACACUUCAGAGCUAAUUUUCUCACAUCACAGAAUAACACUCAUUUUAUGAUUUAUUAAGACUAAAAACACUUGCAUUUCAAAAAAUGUUAGAGGAAUGCUGGCUGGAAAAGCUUUUUAAAAUCAGAAGACAUUUCAGUUCCCUGUCCUUCCACUAGGGGUCCGCAGAUGUCAUGUCCAGACAGACUGGGAGGAUAAACACUGUCAUCUGGUGGUAACCAGAAAGAUAAUUUCUUUAUUUUAUUGGGAGGUAAAGCUUCUUCAUGAUAUGUGGUUUGUGCUUUACAACUCAAAGUUUUUAGAUGGGUUUUGAGAAGUUCUUGGAGGUAGGGUGGUUUAAUAGAAAGACAGCAGAGUGGAGGGUUUUUAUAAGUUCACAAACAUGGCCAAAAUGUAUUAAAAAUCAUGGAUUAAAAGAACUUACUUUCUUACUUUAAGUGACUUACAACACACAUAUCUUUUCUAUAACUAUGAAUGUAAACAAUUAAGAUUAGUCCGAUCCAUCUGGAUCCUUAGACUUUACUGUCCACAAACUAGGUGGGAGACAAAGGGGAGACAACAAAAGAUCUGCUGCAGAGAGAAAAAUAAUUUAUUUUUUAUUUGUAUUUAAAUCCUUGAGCAGCUUGAAUGACGCUAUGUGGAGGAGGAACUGUACACAAUAGAUCUGUUGAUAAUUAUAUAAAUGUAUAAAAUGUGUGCACAUAAAGUCCCUUUGUCAUAAAAACAGCAGUACCAAAUAGCACAUUCAUACCUGAACAUGCUUUUCCUUAAGGUCCCUUUAAGUAUCACUGUGCAUUUACAUUUAAUUAACUGUAUCAUUUAAUUUGAUUUUUACUUGUCAUUUUAAUCAUGUUUAAAUGUUAUUCUCUGUCAUUGUGAAGCACUGGGAUUCUUAUCUGGGAAAGGUGCUAUAUAAAAAUGUAUUGAUUUACUUCAUUACAUUGGAAUCACUUGUUUAAUCAGAGCUGCUCAAAUAAAAUAAACAAUAUGUU